UACGAAGGGGGCUAGCGUUGCUCGGAUUGACUGGGCGUAAAGUGUGCGCAGGCGGCCGCGCAAGUCGAGUGUGAAAUCCCCGAGCUUAACUUGGGAAUUGCGCUCGAAACUACGUGGCUGGAGUGUGGCAGAGGAAGGUGGAAUUCCACGUGUAGCGGUGAAAUGCGUAGAGAUGUGGAGGAACACCGAUGGCGAAGGCAGCCUUCUGGGCCAACACUGACGCUCAUGCACGAAAGCGUGGGGAGCAAACAGG
rnacentral:rRNA from 1 species